AAAAAAGAAUUCAAUUGGCUUCACUUUUUUGCGUCGGCGUGUAAUAGCCGUCGCGAAUGAUAGAUAUUUUGCUUCGGCAAAACAACCCCGUCGCAAAAACAACAAUCGGAUACGACGGCAAAACAUCCCCGUCGCGAUAAUACCAAUUGUUUGCUACUGCAUAACUACGCCGUCGCAUAUUCUGAUAUGAAUUGCUACCACCAAUGUGCCGUCGCGUGUACUUAGUUCUAAACUCUAUGUUAGAGGGCAAAAGAGAAUUAAACUUUGAAAAAUUUCUCUUUGGGUCAGCCUCUCUUCCGCUCUCAACCCGCUUCUCUUGUGCAUCAGAUCAAUUAGAAACUAGUGUGGCGUUUGGGUAUUCAGAAUACCAAAGUCCCAAAUACAUGCAUCUUGUCUCUGGGUCAGAUCGGCUAUAACCUAGAUCUCGUCAUUUCAAUAUAAUCCAUCACAGAUCUGGUAUUUCUUUCUUCUCCAGAUUCUCCGCUCUAUCUAAGCUAGAUUUUGAUACAGAGAGCUUCUUUUUGGAGAGUGAGAAACAGAGACGAGAGAUGGGUUCUGGUUCGAAAUUGGAAGGCACAUAAGCUCGCCGAUACGGCAAGACCCGUAAGAAGUCUUGAGUGUUUCUAGGGAUUCAAAGUCAUUCAACUGAUAAGGAAAUUAAAAAGGCGUAUCGGAAACUCCCUCUCAAGUAAGUUCAAUUUCCGAUUCGAAAUCCACCCAUUUCAUUGUUUUAGAUUAUCUUGUUUGCUUUUGUGUAAUUUCUUGUUGGGUUAUGCUGCUAGUUAGUAUAUGAGGAUAGUAUUGCAGCAAUAGAGAUUGAUUCUGUGAAUUUCAGGCGCCGCCAUUGUUUCUCCUCUCUCGAACUCAAUGACAAGGAGGACAUACUGUCGCGGUUUCUAUUGGAGAGUGAGAAGAAUCCGGAGGAGAUGAAUGAUAAAUAUCUAAGCGAAAUAAUUAUGAACUUCAUGAUUUCUGGGAAAGAUACCAGUGCAAAUUCACUCUUAUGGUUCUUCUACAUGCUCAGCAAGAACCCUAUAACAUAAUUUAUUAUUGUUCGAACAAGCUUCUAGUGCUUGCCCUCUUUUGUGCCCCUUUCAGAUUUGAUUGUGCUUUGGAAUAUUGGGACAUUUGGUUUAAAUUUUAGUUGGCAUUCUUCUGUCAUCUCUCUGACCUUGUUUUUGUGUCAAUGAUGCAGGAGUCCAUUCCUUCAACUUUCUUGGUUUGGAUAUCAAGUGAACUGGCCCAUCAGCUUUGUUUCGACUCCUGGUGCAUUGAAAAUAUAUGCCGAGAUAUUCAGUUUUUUGAUACUAGUGAAACUGGCUUUGUUUUCAUUGACUGAUGUGUGGCGCCAAUUGAAGGGUUGAUGAAAUAAAAAUCACUAAUGCUUUACAAUAUGCAGCUAGUAUUGAGUACGUUAUAAGGUGGAGUACCAAUAUUAGUCUUUGGUCAAACUGGGGUUGCAUAAGCUGAUUCUCCAACUGGGGUUGAAAUCUCUCACGACCUGAAGAAACCU